CAGUAGCCGCGGUAAUACGUAGGGUGCAAGCGUUAAUCGGAAUUACUGGGCGUAAAGCGUGCGCAGGCGGUUAUAUAAGACAGAUGUGAAAUCCCCGGGCUCAACCUGGGAACUGCAUUUGUGACUGUAUAGCUAGAGUACGGCAGAGGGGGAUGGAAUUCCGCGUGUAGCAGUGAAAUGCGUAGAUAUGCGGAGGAACACCGAUGGCGAAGGCAAUCCCCUGGGCCUGUACUGACGCUCAUGCACGAAAGCGUGGGGAGCAAACAGGAUUAGACACCCCCGUAGUCCCUGUCUCUUAUAA
rnacentral:rRNA from 1 species